AAAUCAAAUGAUGAGUACGGAUUUAAUUUUCUCACGACGGUCGUCUGAGAUACUCUCCUUGAUGUUAAAGGAUCCACAACUCCUGAUGAUU
rfam:Morus notabilis contig26593, whole genome shotgun sequence.